rnacentral:rRNA from 1 species
GUAGUUAAUACCUGCAAUUCCGUGACGUUACUACAGAAUAAGGACCGCUAUUCCGUGCCAGCAGCGCCGUAAUACGAAGUCCAAGCGUUAAUCGGAAUUACUGGGCGUAAAGCGCGCGUAGGUGUUUUUUUAAGGUUGAAUGUGAAAGCCCUGGGCUCAACUUAGGAACUGCAUCCAAAACUAGAUGACUAGAGUACGAAAGAGGGAAGUAGAAUUCACAGUGUAGCGGCGGAAUGCGUAGAUAUUGUGAAGAAUACCAAUGGCGAAGGCAGCUUCCUGGUUCUGUACUGACACUGAGGUGCGAAAGCGUGGGUAGCGAACAGGAUUAGAUACCCUGGUAGUCCACGCCGUAAACGAUGACAACUAGCUGUUGGGAGACAAGAUCUCUCAGUGGCGCAGCUAACGCUUUAAGUUGUCCGCCUGGGGAGUACGGCCGCAAGGUUAAAACUCAAAUGAAUUGACGGGGACCCGCACAAGCGGUGGAGCAUGUGGUUUAAUUCGAUGCAACGCGAAAAACCUUACCUACUCUUGACAUACUUGGAAGCUCUUGUAAUGAGAGUGUGCUUUUAGAGCCAAGAUACAGGUGCUGCAUGGCUGUCGUCAGCUCGUGUCGUGAGAUGUUGGGUUAAGUCCCAUAACGAGCGCAACCCUUACCCUUAUUUGCCAGCGGUUCGGCCGGGAACUAUAAGGGGACUGCCGGUGACAAACCGGAGGAAGGUGAGGACGACGUCAAGUCAUCAUGGCCCUUACGAGUAGGGCUACACACGUGCUACAGUGGGGAAUACAGACGGACGCUAAAGCGUGAGCUGGUGCUAAUCCUAAAAAAUUUCUCGUAGUCCGGAUUGCAGUCUGCAACUCGACUGCAUGAAGUCGGAAUCGCUAGUAAUCGCGAAUCAGCAUGUCGCGGUGAAUACGUUCUCGGGUCUUGUACACACCGCCCGUCACACCAUGGAAGUGUGUUGCACCAGAAGUAGGUAGUCUAACCUUCG